rnacentral:lncRNA from 1 species
AGAGAAAAAAUAGCUCCACGAGUUAUGCAGACAAAAAAUAAAUUGGUGAGAUUUCUGUCCUAAUACAGACACUGGGAGAAGGCAUCCUCUGCUCCCUCUCAGGGGUUACAUGUGACUUAUUUGUUUCCCCCUCAAACUGUGCUGAGUUUAGUCUUUCAGUAGACUGAGGCACCUUUGGAACUCCUAGGGGGAGGCCAGGAGGUACGUCCUUAAUUGCUUCAUGGAUGAUGUGAAGUCUUAGAAUGGAAUCUAGCCGUCACUCAUUAACUAGCUUGGCUUAUUAAACCUUGACAGCUAACAGAACUGAGCCAAAUAUCCUUGAUUAGAGGCGGCUCAAGAGCAGCAGGAGU